rnacentral:rRNA from 1 species
GGGCGGAACCCUGACGCAGCAACGCCGCGUGAGUGAAGAAGGCCUUCGGGUCGUAAAGCUCUGUCAGAGGGGAAGAAGUGCAGUGGGGCUAAUACCGGCAUUGUUUGACGGUACCCCCAAAG